AUGUGCUCGCUUUUUUUUCAGGUCACACCCUCUACCCAUUGGGCAUUUGAGCACAGAGUUACAGUGCACAUUCUCUUGGCAAGCCUCCAAUUGCGCUUUCUGGAACUUCUCUUUCCAACCAUUCAUACAGGCUUUUCCAGAUCACAGAUGAAAACCUCUUACUUCCUUUGUCACUCCCAUAGACUAAAGCUCCUUCUUUGUGAAGAUGACUCAAGGAGGGAGAGAAGAGGAGAAGCCACAGCCCAUCAACGUCUCUGGGCAUCACACCCCACUUGGCUGGGUAAGAUCACACUCCGCGGGCUGGGGUAGCAUCCACUCAGCACAUCUUGCUAAUUUAAUUUCUGGAACGGAAAUGGGAUCGGGGGGAGGACGGAUGUUUGCAUCGCUUGCAGACAGAGUCAAUUGAGGCGAUCAUUUCAGGUUCCAGUUCUUCACAGAAUUUGAGGUCUGAGAGGGAGGUUACAAAUGCUUUGAGAGGAAAUACACUGUGAGAGAGGCAACCUAAACUCAGUUUAUUCCAUUUGGUUUGUCAGUGGAGUGAGGGAUAUUAUAGCUACAUACGGGUCUCAUGGUCAACACAGCACUUGCAUUGACCAGGUCAACAUUCUGUAGGACAGUGAUUUUUUUUUUAAAUUUUUUAAAGUUUAUUUAUUUAUUUAUUUUGAGAGAGACAGAGAGAGCAAGCGGGGUAGGGGCAGAGAGAGAGAGAGGGAGAGAGAAAACCCCAAGCAGGGUCCACAUUGUCAGCAAAGAGCCCGAUGUGGGGCUUGAACUCAUGAACAGGGAGAUCACGACCUGAGCCGAAACCAAGAGUCAGACACUGAACCGACUGAGCCACCCAGGCGCCCCUGUAGGGCAGUGAUUUAAAACAUAGCUUGAUGUAAGUUUUGUAAAACUCAUAUAGAGACUCUUUCAUGUGUCCAAAUCAAAAAUACCUGGAUCGGAAGGGACAAGUUAGUAGCUGAGAUAAGUUUGUCCAAGGGAGCUUGUCGAAGUCAGUCUCUCAGAUAGCUAAACCAGAAAAAAGAAUCUCCAAAUUGCUAAUUCAGUCACUGUGCACAGAGGAAUCUUUCGUCUUGUGUAUUAGUGAGUCUCCUUUUACUAUAAACAAAUAGCAACUACUUAGUAAUUUUUAUUAAUAGAGUUUCUGUACAUACAAUACCACUUUCAAGUCUGAUAUCAUAUUACACAAGUGCCUUGUAAAGUAGGUAAUAAAUGCUCAAAUUAUAAGGAAUGUAGAAAUGCU
rnacentral:lncRNA from 1 species